CAGACCGCCCGUACCGCAAACCGACACAGGUGGUCGGGUCGAGAAGACCAAGGUGAGCGAGAGAACUCUCGUUAAGGAACUCGGCAAAAUGACCCCGUAACUUCGGGAGAAGGGGUGCUGAUCGCAAGAUCAGCCGCAGUGAAUAGGCCCAGGCGACUGUUUAUCAAAAACACAGGUUUCUGCAAAAUCGUAAGAUGAAGUAUAGGGGCUGACGCCUGCCCGGUGCUGGAAGGCUAAGAGGAUGGGUUAGCGCAAGCGAAGCUCAGAAUUGAAGCCCCAGUAAACGGCGGCCGUAACGAUAACGGUCCUAAGGUAGCGAAAUUCCUUGUCGGGUAAGUUCCGACCCGCACGAAAGGCGUAACGAUCUGGGCACUGUCUCAACGAGAGACUCGGUGAAAUUAUAAUACCCGUGAAGAUGCGGGUUACCCGCGACAGGACGGAAAGACCCCAUGGAGCUUUACUGUAGCUUGAUAUUGGGUGUUUGUACAACUUGUACAGGAUAGGUAGGAGCCGUAGAAGUCGGGACGCUAGUUUCGACGGAGGCAUCGGUGGGAUACUACCCUCGUUGUAUGAACACUCUAACCCACGCCGGCAAUCACGGCGGGAGACAGUGUCAGGUGGGCAGUUUGACUGGGGCGGUCGCCUCCUAAAAGGUAACGGAGGCGCCCAAAGGUUCCCUCAGAAUGGUUGGAAAUCAUUCGCAGAGUGUAAAGGCAUAAGGGAGCUUGACUGCGAGACCUACAAGUCGAGCAGGGACGGAAGUCGGGCUUAGUGAUCCGGUGGUUCCGCAUGGAAGGGCCAUCGCUCAACGGAUAAAAGCUACCCUGGGGAUAACAGGCUUAUCUCCCCCAAGAGUCCACAUCGACGGGGAGGUUUGGCACCUCGAUGUCGGCUCAUCGCAUCCUGGGGCUGUAGUCGGUCCCAAGGGUUGGGCUGUUCGCCCAUUAAAGCGGUACGCGAGCUGGGUUCAGAACGUCGUGAGACAGUUCGGUCCCUAUCCGUCGCGGGCGCAGGAAAUUUGAGAGGAUCUGUCCUUAGUACGAGAGGACCGGGAUGGACAUACCGCUGGUGUACCAGUUGUUCUGCCAAGGGCAUCGCUGGGUAGCUAUGUAUGGAUGAGAUAAACGCUGAAAGCAUCUAAGUGCGAAACUCACCUCGAGAUAAGAUUUCCCACUCCUUUAUGGAGUUAAGACCCCUGAGAGAUGAUCAGGUAGAUAGGAUGGAAGUGGAAGUGCGGCGACGCAUGGAGCGGGCCAUUACUAAUCGGUCGAGGACUUAAUCG
rnacentral:rRNA from 1 species